CAGCAUUUUGGGAGGUCAAGACAGGAGGAUUGCUGAGGCCAGGAGUUUUAGACCAUCCUGAGAAACAUAGCAAAAGCCCAGCUCUAACAAAACUUAAAAAACAUACACUCAAAAGAAUGAAAUGAAGUCCAGAGUAUCUGCUUUCCUAAUGACUCGUGCUGCACUUGGGACCCCUACCAUCACCAUGUGACACAGAAGCCAUCUCAGUGGAGGAUACCCUCAGCCAGUCUUUGACUCACAUGGAAGUUCACAGCUCUCCUGUAAGGUACUCUAACAGAACUUAGCCUGACCUACAUCAGCAGAACCAGCCAGAUCUUAUAAAGAACCCAAUGGAAAGAAAUGAGUUUUGUGGAGGAUUGACUGAAGAGUAUACAUCUACUCCCUUAAUCUAAGUUCUAGGUUUGGAUGAACUUCAUUCCAAUAGAACCCUCCAGAUUUGGACCACAGUAAGAGUAUCUCCUGUACAAAGUUCUGUCUGACAGUUUUCUCACCGUAUCAGUUCAGUACCCACUGAAUGGGGUUCCUGGCAAAACAAGUCUAUUAUAAUUAAGUGCUGGUUUUCAAAUUAUUAUUCCCUGGGGAGCAGUGAUCAAGAGAGCAAUGUUAAAGAUUUCAGCCACAUGAAGAGAAAAAUGUUUCCCACCUUUUUUCCCACCAUCAUUUCCUUACUCCUUCAGCAGAGGGCAUUUAGAAAAGGGGGUUGAAUAAAAAAGUGAAGGACUACCUGCCCUGCUUACAUUUGCCAAAUAUCUCUUUGCCAUCCAUAAUAUCCUUACACUCUGUGACUUUUUGAUUGUGUUU